UGCUAUGGUAUCCAGGGUGGUUGCUAAGGUGUUGCUAGGUGGUUGCUAGGUGGUUGCUAAGGUUUUGCUAGGUGGUUGCUAAGGUGUUGCUAUGGUAUCCAGGGUGGUUGCUAAGGUGUUGCUAGGUGGUUGCUAAGGUGUUGCUAGGUGGUUGCUAAGGUGUUGCUAUGGUAUCCGGGGUGGUUGCUAAGGUGUUGCUAGGUGGUUGCAAGGUGGUUGCUAAGGUGUUGCUAGGCGGUUGCUAAGGUGUUGCUAUGGUGUCUAGGGUGGUUGCUAAGGUGUUGCUAGGUGGUUGCUAAGAUGUUGCUAUGGUAUCUGGGGUGGUUGCUAAGGUGUUGCUAGGUGUAUCUAACUGGUCGCUAGGCAGUUGCUACCAUUUCUAAAGUGGUUGCUAAGCAGUUGCUAGGCAGUUGCUAACGUUUUCCAGGUGGUUGCUAAGGUGUAUCUAACUGGUUCCUAGGCAGUAGUAGAUAAAAAGAAAGAGUGUUAAAUGUAGAAGUACAGAAAAAGGGAGAGCCUGAAAUAGAGAAGUAGAGAGAAAAUCAGCGUGAGAAGUAGAGAAAGAACACCCGAGAAUGUGAGAAAAAGAGUGACAAGUAGAGAGAAAUAUUGAGCGAGAGAAAGAGAAUUAGGGAAAAAGAGAGAUCGAGAAAUAAAGAAGUAGAGAAAGAAAAAGGAUGUAGUAGAGAGAUAGAUAGAAAGAGAAAGCAAGACAGAAAAGUAGAGUGAAAGAGAAGUAGAGAGAAGAGCGAGAAAUAAAGAGAGAGUAAGAGAGAAAUAGAGAAAUAGAAAAGUAGAAAGAAAGAGACAUAGAAAAGUAGAGAGAGUGAGAAAGAGAGAGUGAGAAAUAGAGAAGUAGAGAGAGAGUGAGAAAGAGAGAGUGAGAAAUAGAGAAGUAGAGAGAGUGAGAAAUAGAGACGUAGAGAGAGAGUGAGAAAGAGAGUGAGAAAUAGAGAAGUAGAGAGAGAGUGAGAAAUAGAGACGUAGAGAGAGAGUGAAAAAGAGAGUGAGAAAUAUAGAAGUAGAGAGAGUGAGAAAUAUAGAAGUAGAGAGAGAGAGUGAGAAAUAGAGACGUAGAGAGAGAGUGAGAAAUAGAGACGUAGAGAGAGAGAGUGAGAAAGAGUGAGAAAUAGAGAAGUAGAGAGAGUGAGAAAUAGAGACGUAGAAA